rnacentral:rRNA from 1 species
GACGAACGCUGGCGGUGUGCUUCACACAUGCAAGUCGAACGGGGUAGCAAUACCCAGUGGCGGACGGGUGAGUAACGCGUAGAAAUCUGCCUUGAGAUGGGGGAUAACAGUCCGAAAGGAUUGCUAAUACCGCAUAUGUAUGUGCCCGGACACGGGCGUAUAUGAAAGGAGUAAUCCGUCUUAAGAUGAGUCUGCGUCCGAUUAGCUAGUUGGUAGGGUAAAGGCCUACCAAGGCGACGAUCGGUAGCUGGUCUGAGAGGAUGAUCAGCCACAAUGGGACUGAGACACGGCCCAUACUCCUACGGGAGGCAGCAGUGGGGAAUUUUGUGCAAUGGGGGAAACCCUGACACAGCGACACCGCGUGAACGAAGAAGCCCUUUGGGGUGUAAAGUUCUGUCGGCUGGAACGAAAAAAUGACGGUACCAGCAAAGGAAGCAUCGGCUAACUACGUG